rnacentral:rRNA from 1 species
GACGAACGCUGGCGGCGUGCUUAACACAUGCAAGUCGAACGGAAAGGCCCUGCUUUUGUGGGGUGCUCGAUUGGCGAACGGGUGAGUAACACGUGAGUAACCUGCCCUUGACUUUGGGAUAACUUCAGGAAACUGGGGCUAAUACCGGAUAGGAGCUCCUGCUGCAUGGUGGGGGUUGGAAAGUUUCGGCGUUUGGGGAUGGACUCGCGGCUUAUCAGCUUGUUGGUGGGGUAGUGGCUUACCAAGGCUUUGACGGGUAGCCGGCCUGAGAGGGUUACCGGCCACAUUGGGACUGAGAGACGGACCAGACUCCUACGGGCGGCAGCAGUGGGGAAUAUUGCACAAUGGGCGGAAGCCUGAUGCAGAAACGCCGCGUGCGGGAUGACGGCCUUCGGGUUGUAAACAGCUUUCGACUGUGACGAAGCGUGAGUGACGGUAAUGGGUAAAAAAGCACCGGCUAACUACGUG